CAGUAGCCACGGUAAUACGAAGGGGGCUAGCGUUGCUCGGAAUUACUGGGUUUAAAGGGUGCGUAGGUGGGCAGGUAAGUCAGUGGUGAAAUCUCCGGGCUUAACCCGGAAACUGCCGUUGAUACUAUCUGUCUUGAAUGUAGUGGAGGUGAGCGGAAUAUGUCAUGUAGCGGUGAAAUGCUUAGAUAUGACAUAGAACACCCAUUGCGAAGGCAGCUCGCUACGCUAUUAUUGACACUGAUGCACGAAAGCGUGGGGAUCAAACAGGAUUAGAUACCCGCGUAGUCCCUGUCUCUUAUAC
rnacentral:rRNA from 1 species